rnacentral:rRNA from 1 species
UACGGAGGGUGCAAGCGUUAGUCCGGAUUCACUGGGUUUAAAGGGUGCGCAGGUGGGUUGGUAAGUCAGUGGUGAAAUCCCCGAGCUUAACUUGGGAACUGCCAUUGAUACUAUCAGUCUUGAAUACCGUGGAGGUCAGGCGGAAUAUGUCAUGUAGCGGUGAAAUGCUUAGAUAUGACAUAGAACACCAAUUGGCGAAGGCAGCUGGCUACUCGGAUCAUUGACACUGAGGCACGAAAGCGUGGGGAUCAAACAGG